GUCUCUGUGGCGCAAUCGGUUAGCGCGUUCGGCUGUUAACCGAAAGGUUGGUGGUUCAAGCCCACUUAGGGACG
rfam:Nematostella vectensis strain CH2 x CH6 NEMVEscaffold_142_Cont15279, whole genome shotgun sequence.